GCUCAGAUUGAACGCUGGCGGCAUGCCUUACACAUGCAAGUCGAACGGUAACAGGUUAAGCUGACGAGUGGCGAACGGGUGAGUAAUACAUCGGAACGUGCCCAGACGUGGGGGAUAGCUCGGCGAAAGCCGGAUUAAUACCGCAUAAGCUCUGAGGAGGAAAGCGGGGGACCGUAAGGCCUCGCGCGUUUGGAGCGGCCGAUGGCAGAUUAGGUAGUUGGUGGGGUAAAGGCUUACCAAGCCUACGAUCUGUAGCUGGUCUGAGAGGACGACCAGCCACACUGGGACUGAGACACGGCCCAGACUCCUACGGGAGGCAGCAGUGGGGAAUUUUGGACAAUGGGCGAAAGCCUGAUCCAGCAAUGCCGCGUGCAGGAUGAAGGCCUUCGGGUUGUAAACUGCUUUUGUACGGAACGAAAAGGCGCCUACUAAUACUGGGUGUUGAUGACGGUACCGUAAGAAUAAGCACCGGCUAACUACGUGCCAGCAGCCGCGGUAAUACGUAGGGUGCAAGCGUUAAUCGGAAUUACUGGGCGUAAAGCGUGCGCAGGCGGUGUUGUAAGACAGUUGUGAAAUCCCCGGGCUCAACCUGGGAACUGCAUCUGUGACUGCAAUGCUGGAGUGCGGCAGAGGGGGAUGGAAUUCCGCGUGUAGCAGUGAAAUGCGUAGAUAUGCGGAGGAACACCGAUGGCGAAGGC
rnacentral:rRNA from 1 species